rnacentral:lncRNA from 1 species
GGGUUCCUUCGCAAGGUUCGUCCACGGAGGGUGAGUCAGGGCCUAAGAUCAGGCCGAAAGGCGUAGUCGAUGGACAACAUGUGAAUAUUCCUGUACUACCCCUUGUUGGUCCCGAGGGACGGAGGAGGCUAGGUUAGCCGAAAGAUGGUUAUCGGUUCAAGGACGCGAGGUGCCCCUGAUUUUUCAGGGUAAGAAGGGGUAGAGAAAAUGCCCCGAGCCAAUGUUCGAGUACCAGGCGCCACGGCGCUGAAGUAACCCAUGCCAUACUCCCAGGAAAAGCUCGAACGACCUUUAACAAAAGGGUACCUAUACC